UCCAUCGUGGUGCAGUGGCAGCACGCCAGACCAAACAUGCGCGCACGCCGCAUUGCUUACGAGCGUGCCGCCCACUGAGAUAAGAGCUACAAGGGAAACCUGAAUGGCUGCUGUUCACGGUGUUGCGCGUUGCGUGGUGCGGGCUUGCUUUCGAGCUUGUCAGUCUAGAGACCCGAGUUCGACUCUCGGCGAUGGAA